rnacentral:rRNA from 1 species
CGGGUGAGUAACGCGUAUGCAACUUGCCUAUCAGAGGGGGAUAACCCGGCGAAAGUCGGACUAAUACCGCAUGAAGCAGGGGCCCCGCAUGGGGAUAUUUGCUAAAGAUUCAUCGCUGAUAGAUAGGCAUGCGUUCCAUUAGGCAGUUGGCGGGGUAACGGCCUACCAAGCCGACGAUCAGUAGCCGACCUGAGAGGGUGACCGGCCACAUUGGGACUGAGACACGGCCCAA